rnacentral:rRNA from 1 species
GACGAACGCUGGCGGCGUGCCUAAUACAUGCAAGUUGAGCGCUGAAGGUUGGUACUUGUACCAACUGGAUGAGCAGCGAACGGGUGAGUAACGCGUGGGGAAUCUGCCUUUGAGCGGGGGACAACAUUUGGAAACGAAUGCUAAUACCGCAUAAAAACUUUAAACACAAGUUUUAAGUUUGAAAGAUGCAAUUGCAUCACUCAAAGAUGAUCCCGCGUUGUAUUAGCUAGUUGGUGAGGUAAAGGCUCACCAAGGCGAUGAUACAUAGCCGACCUGAGAGGGUGGUCGGCCACAUUGGGACUGAGACACGGCCCAAACUCCUACGGGAGGCAGCCGUAGGGAAUCUUCGGCCAUGGACGAAAGUCUGACCGAGCAACGCCGCGUGAGUGAAGAAGGUUUUCGGAUCGUAAAACUCUGUUGGUAGAGAAGAACGUUGGUGAGAGUGGAAAGCCCAUCAAGUGACGGUAACUACCCAGAAAGGGACGGCUAACUACGUG